AUCAUAGUUUAGUGGUAAAAUAUCCGCCUUCCAAGCGGAUGUCCCGGGUUCGAUUCCCGGU
rnacentral:tRNA from 1 species